AGCUCCGAGAACUUUACUCGACCACCCGAAAGAUGGUGAGCUAACUUCCCCUGUCAUAGAACUAAAACCUCACUGUUGCAAUAGUGAGAAAGAAGGCCAAGUUAGAGGUAAAAUGCCAACCGCACCACCUGAUAGCUGGUUUUCGGGGAAAAGAGUAAAAGCCCCUUUACCUAAAGAACAACGAUUUAUGUACCAUAAACAAAGAUCACCUCCCUAGAGUAAAAAGAGGAUGGGAGACAAGUUCCACCCUCAAGAGGGAAACAACCCCUAGUGUAAGAAAAGUCAUCAAAAACAAGGGAGAGACCCCAAAGUAGGCCUAAAAGCUGCCAACCAGAAAGAAAGCGUUAAAGCUCACCCUAACUAUUCCCAACAAUUUUUGACAAGAAACUACUCUUCGCUUAUAAGUACCCGAAAAAAAUAAUGUUAAGACAAGUAAAAAGAUACUUCCUUUUCCCCACAAAGAAACCAUAAACCCAAAAACCUAGAAGAGCAAAACACAAGAGAGCUCCACAUAAUAAUUCUAUCAACCCAGAUGUGGAAGGAAAACCGGGAAACCGGGAGGGAAGGAACUCGGCAAACUAGAAAAAGGACUGUUUACCAAAAACAUAGCCCCUUGAAUAUUUAAAGGGUCCCGCCUGCCCAGUGGCCUAAGGCUAAACGGCCGCGGUAUCUUGACCGUGCAAAGGUAGCAUAAUCACUUGUCUUUUAAAUGGAGACUUGUAUGAACGGCGAAACCUUUUUCGACUGUCUCCCCUCCCACCCUUCUAAAUUUCUUUCUGUGUGAAGAAGCACAGAUACUUCAGAAAGACGAGAAGACCCUGUCGAGCUUUAGCCACUAAGUGAACCCAAACCUUUCCCAAGUAUCACCUAAAGGCUUUGGUUGGGGCAACCAUGGAGAAGAAAAACCCUCCAGAACAAGUAGAAGAAACCUUUUCACUACUAACUUCGCCUAAAGAACCAGAAACUGGUAUUCGGAAAAAGUUACCGCAGGGAUAACAGCGUCAUCUCCUCCAAGAGUCCUUAUUGACGAGGGGGUUUGCGACCUCGAUGUUGGAUUGGGGCCUCCCUGGGGUGCAGAAGCUCCAAACGGUUAGACUGUUCGUCUAUUAAAGCCCU
rnacentral:rRNA from 1 species